UGUCCCUGUGCUCAAUAAAGGGUAUUUGGCUAGUGAGACCCAUCUCAUUGUAGCCAGGGGCAAAGCCAUUCUUUGUUCACCCAGGCAUAGCUUUUGGUCUGUGCUCUUGCCUUGCUCAAGCCCUGGAAGCAGAA
ensembl:snoRNA